rnacentral:rRNA from 1 species
GAAACAGUUGCUAAGACUGGAUAGGAAAUUAAAAGGCAUCUUUUAAUUUUUAAAAGACCUUUUUCGGAAGGUAUGCUUAAAGAGGGGCUUGCGCCACAUUAGUUAGUUGGUAAGGUAAAGGCUUACCAAGACGAUGAUGUGUAGCUGGACUGAGAGGUCGAACAGCCACAUUGGGACUGAGACACGGCCCAAACUCCUACGGGAGGCAGCAGUAAGGAAUUUUUGGCAAUGGAGGAAACUCUGACCGAGCGACGCCGCGUGAACAAUGAAGUACUUCGGUAUGUAAAGUUCUUUUAUUGAAAAAGAAAAAAUAGUGGAAAAACUAUCUUGACAUUAUUCAAUGAAUAAGCCCCGGCUAAUUAUGUGCCAGCAGCCGCGGUAAUACAUAAGGGGCGAGCGUUAUCCGGAAUUAUUGGGCGUAAAGGGUGCGUAGGCGGYUUGAUAAGUCUAUAGUUUAAUUGCAGUGCUUAACGCUGUACCGCUAUAGAAACUGUCUGACUAGAGUUAGAUAGAGGCAAGCGGAAUUCCAUGUGUAGCGGUAAAAUGCGUAAAUAUAUGGAGGAACACCAGAGGCGUAGGCGGCUUGCUGGGUCUUAACUGACGCUGAGGCACGAAAGCGUGGGGAGCAAACAGGAUUAGAUACCCUGGUAGUCCACGCCGUAAACGAUGAGUACUAAGUGUCGGGUUUUGGCUCGGUACUGAAGUUAACACAUUAAGUACUCCGCCUGAGUAGUACGUACGCAAGUAUGAAACUUAAAGGAAUUGACGGGACCCCGCACAAGCGGUGGAUCAUGUUGUUUAAUUCGAAGAUACACGAAAAACCUUACCAGGUCUUGACAUAAUUUUGCGACAUUAUAGAAAUAUAAUGAAGGUUAUCAGAAUUACAGGUGGUGCAUGGGUUGUCGUCAGCUCGUGUCGUGAGAUGUUAGGUUAAGUCCUAAAACGAGCGCAACCCUUGUCGUUAGUUGCGACCACAUAAUGGUGAGCACUUUAGCGAGACUGCCAAUGAAAAAUUGGAGGAAGGUGAGGAUUACGUCAAAUCAUCAUGCCCCUUAUGAUCUGGGCUACAAACGUGAUACAAUGGCUGUUACAAAGAGUAGCUACGACGUGAGUUUUUAGCCAAUCUCAAAAAAACAGUCUCAGUUCGGAUUGAAGUCUGCAACUCGACUUCAUGAAGUUGGAAUCGCUAGUAAUCGCGAAUCAGCAUGUCGCGGUGAAUACGUUCUCGGGGUUUGUACACACCGCCCGUCA